GACGUGAUGCUGCGCGUCAAGGAGGCCGACCAGAUGACCGGGACAGGGUUUAACGACGUCGGCAAGAUGGGCGAGGAGGGCACCGGCAUGAAGGCGGCACUGAGGGCCGACGACGAGGAGGACGUGAUGCUGCGGGUGAAGGCGGCGGACCAGAUGACGGGGCAGGCGUUCAACGACGUCGGCCCGAUGGGAGAGGAGGGCACGGGAUGGGGUCCGGCGUUGAGGGCGCGGAAGGACGCCUGAGAGCGUUAGACACGUGCAUGCACUCCUGUUGCGUGUCAGCGUUUUGUGUGACACUUUGUAGUAGUACAAGCUACUCCUAUAGCAAAUGAAUAAAUUAUGCCCGGCAACUUUUUAUUAAUAAAUCACUAACUUUACCUGUAAUCCUUUGUGAGAAAUGUUAUAAUUCCUUCUAGAAUGAAAUUGGGCUUCCCUGUGAAAUGAGGCAGGGAACAGAGCGGGAGUGCUGAGUUGAGAAGCUAGCGUUUUAAGGGUCUAAAAAUGAUCCUUUGUGCAUUUUUACGGGUUAAAAAACAGGGGUAAAGAUUAGAGCCCUCAAACCCAACCCUUAUAACGGAAUAUUCUCAUGAACGACGCGCGGGGGUCGACGGGGUGGCCGCCGGCGACGGGGCGACUAGCGGCGGCGGGAGGUCGACGGGGUGGCCGCCGGCGACGGGGCGACUAGCGGCGGCGGGAGGUCGACGGGGUGGGCGCGAGAGUUAGGAGGAUUUUUCCCUCCCGCGCGAGGAUAACCACCAAAUGAGUGUUGGGGUAGAUUUUGCUCUCCAACCCUUACUUUUAAGGAUUGGGAAAGGAUUUGAGGGUUGGACCUUUAAAAAAAUUUAAUGAGGGUUGGGGUAGAUUUUGCUCUCCAACCUUUACUUUUGAGAAUUGAGAGAGGGUUUGAGGGUUGGACCUCUAAAAAAAUUUAAUGAGCGUUGGGAUAGGUUUUGAUCUCCAACCCUUACUUUUGAGGAUUGGGAGAGAGUUUGAAGGUUGGACCCUUAAAAAAAUUUGAGGAUUUGAGGGUUAGGGGUUCUAGUAUACGGCUUUUUUCGCCGAAAAUUAUAAAAAAACAGUUAUUUUUAGGAGUUUGAGGGUUUGAGGGCUCUACUAGUAAUGCUCUUAGUGGUAGAGUUGUUGGCAAUCAGCUCCAGGUUUCUUAGUACUCCCUUUGUUUUUUUUUACUCCGCAUAUAAGAUUUGAUCAAAGUCAAACUACACAAAGUUUGACCAAAUUUACAUAAAAAAUUAUGAACAUCUACAGUACUAAAACUAUAUAGUAUGAAAAUAUGUUUCAUGGUGCAUCUGAAUAUAUUUAUUUCACAUUAUAAAUGUUUAUAUUUUUUCACAUAAAGUUAGUCAAACUCUAUAAUGCUUAACUUUGACCAAACUUUAUAUGCGGACUAAAAAGAAACGGAGGGAAUAGCUCAGCGAUAAAGCGGUCGGCUAUUAACUGACGGGAUGUAAGUUCGAAUCCUACUUAAAAAGAUUUUAUUCAUUUUUAAUGUAAAUUUUAAUGUAGGUUCGAAUCCUAUGAAGAUUUUAUCUAUUCUUUAAUGUGAGAAUUUUAGUGUAAAAACAUUGGGAUGGAGGGAGUACAAUUUUAUUAAGAGGCUCCUCAAACUAAUCAAACAAAUCAACAACAGGCGAUUGUUAUUUCUCAAUAGCUCAAUGGUAGAGCGUCGGCUGCUAACUGAUUGAUCGUAAGUUCGAAUCCUACUAAGAAAGAUUUUAUUCAUUCUUCAAUGUAAGAAAUUUUAAUGCAAAGACACUGGAAUAGAGGGAGUAUAAUUUUAUUACAGUUUGUCUAGUUCACAUCUAAAUAUUUUUUAAGAAUUUCACAUCUAAGCUUCCAGAAAUACAUAAUGCAACAAAAAAAAGAAAAAAAAA
rnacentral:lncRNA from 1 species